rnacentral:rRNA from 1 species
GACGAACGCUGGCGGCGUGCCUAAUACAUGCAAGUCGAACGCAGUGGGGACGGGUAAGUAACACGUGGGUAACCUCCCAUCAGAGGGGAUAACACUUGGCAACAGGUGCUAAACCGAUACGGGUGGAUGGACCCGCGGUGCAUUAGCGAGUUGGUGAGGUACCGGCUCACCAAGGCCACGAUCCAUAGCCGACCUGAGAGGCUGAUCGGCCACACUGGGACUGAGACACGGCCCAGACUCCUACGUGAGGCAGCAGUCGGGAAUAUUCGGCAAUGGGCGAAAGUCUGACCGAGCAACGCCGCGUGAGUGAAGAAGGUUGUCGGAUCGUAAAGCUCUGUUGGUAGUGAAGCGGUAGCUAACCAGAAAGCCACGGCUAACUACGUGCCAGCAGCCGCGGUAAUUC